UACGGGGGGGGCAAGCGUUGUUCGGAAUUAUUGGGCGUAAAGAGCUCGUAGGCGGUUUGUUGCGUCGGCUGUGAAAUCCCGAGGCUCAACCUCGGGUCUGCAGUCGAUACGAGCAAACUAGAGUGUUGCAGGGGAGACUGGAAUUCCUGGUGUAGCGGUGAAAUGCGCAGAUAUCAGGAGGAACACCGGUGGCGAAGGCGGGUCUCUGGGCAGCAACUGACGCUGAGGAGCGAAAGCGUGGGGAGCAAACAGG
rnacentral:rRNA from 1 species